rnacentral:sRNA from 1 species
UCUCGUUCUGGUCAGCGCAGUCUACGAU